AAAGAUGAUCGAAUGUUGUCUUCCCAAGCCAGAGAAAGAUUUUGUGAGGCAGUAAUUAGAGGAGAGCUCGUGAACAAGGUGUUGAAAACGAGUGCUGCUCCUUUGGUGGAGCUCAAAAUGCUCAAGAACCUCACCGGCUCUCUGUUGUUGCAAGCUCUCUAGGCACAACUCAAGAGAGCUGAUAAUUGUGCACUCAAGGAAGAGAAUUAUAGGAUUUGUUAUGAAAACAAUGCCAUUGGAGAAGCACUCAAACACACCACCAAAACCCUUACUUUGAUGAACAAACGCUUUGAACCGCAAAUGCUUAGAGAAGAGUGAUGUGAACAUGAUUUUCAAAUUUAGUUGGAUAAUAGCCAUCACAACAGAGAUCGAGAUGGUUUGUGGCGAGGUGAGGAGAAAAGAGGGAUGAGAAGGGAGAUUGAGCCUGCUGUCUAGAAGUAGAUUACUGCUAUCCGCACUAUCAGAAGUGCUCUGGCAAUGUAAUCCAGUAAGUUCCUUUCCGAGUUGAUUUCUGAUAAAGCUUCUUCGAUAGUUUAAGGGCUUGCUGAAGUAGAGCACCAUUAUGCAAAACCAUGGACCUCUGAUUCAUUGUAUUUCCAUAAACUAUUCCUGCAAAACUAUUGUUCAAUUGUUUACUGAGCU